rnacentral:rRNA from 1 species
AUGCUGUACCUGAUCAGCAGCCAUCUGCACCACGGGCACUUCGCUGGUUCCUUCAUCCCGCCGGCGGUGCCGGCGAGGCGCCGGGGCGUACGCCGAAGUCUCCCUGCAGCCUGCCUGAUCACGCACCCCCUGCCAAAAACUCCGGCGAACACCUCCUAUCUUCCCCCGCUUCCUGAAGCCUCCUCCAUUUCCAUCAUCGUGGCCAUCAUCAUCUCGCCGGUCCGCACGAAACAAGCCAGCAGAAGGAGCAGCUCGGGGAUGGCCCUCCCCAUCCUUGACACCCAUUCUCCACCCCUUGUGAUUGUACGUGCGAGGCCACUCACACACUCCAUUAUCUGGGCUCGCCGAAGGAGACAGGGGAGUGUAAUCCUUAACCACACCAAGGUGGAUGAGCACCAGGAAGUCCGGCCCCUCCAAGCCCUCCUCCACCGGCACUCCUUCCGGCCUCGACUCUCUGGACCUGAUCACAUCUUGCCGCUGCAGCAUGUUGAAAUCAGACGCCCUUGGUAUCAUGUCCGGGUUCCAUGUCCAUACCCAAGCAAAGAGAGCAGAUCUGUUCCUCUUGGUCUUGGACUGCCGCUCAAUCAAAUCAAGCCAGCAGUUCUUCCCAACCACUUCCUGGACGGUGUCCUAAUCCCAAGCAUUCAACGGCAAACGAUCAAUCACUACUCUGCAGUAGAACCUCCAUACCUUGUUGCCGCCCACCGGCGGGAACCAUGGCCGGAGCUGAAAACGGACCCCCGCCACCUCGAUCACACGCCCUUCAUAGACCAGGUCGCGCUGGACACGGUCAGCCAGGGUGAUGAUGUAGUCUUCAGGGAAGCACGGCGCGACGGAAAUGUCCCGGAGGUCGAACCGAUGCUCAUGCGCCACCACACGAGCAAUCAUGUCCGGCGUGAUGGCCGAGCGGUCACCCACGGCAGUGAGGAGCAGCGACAUGGUCCUUAG